GUGUUUGCUUUGGCAGCACGUAUGCUAAAAUUGGAACGAUUCGGAGAGCAUGAGCAUGGUCCCUGUGCAAGGAUGACAUGCAAAUUCAUGAAGCUUCCAUAGUUUUG